UGGGGAGGAGUUCAGGAUUGGGGGAAAUUGCCUUUAAUAAAUAUGAAGAACAAAAAUAUACACUAUAUUAAAUUUAUAUUAAAAAUAUUUAUUUAAUAUUUUUCCUUCAGGCCGAGCCUUCUGGCAGAGGCUAAAUUUUUUUAAAUAAGUGUAGUUAUUCUUAUUUGUUACUAACGUAACUUUAUAUAGUAAUUUAACUCUUUUGUUGAGAUUUAUUAAUAUCGAUUAACCCUUCUGAGUAACAUCUCA
rnacentral:rRNA from 1 species